rnacentral:rRNA from 1 species
AGAGAAGGAAAGUAAAAUUUAUGCGGUUUGUCAAAGAUCAUUGGUUCGGCCUGCUGGUGUCAAUCUUCGUUUUUUUCUUUUUGUGCGUGUUUGCCCUUGUGCUGGCGGCGCCGCAUCAGGAUGAACAAAAACGCGGCUUUGUUCCCUGCACCGAAACAAUGGCGGAGGAACUCCGCGGCUGCAACGGCAGGAACAUGUGCGUGCUGGGCAGCGUGGUCGACAACACGUUUUGCAAUGUCGGCGUAAUCGGAGAGGGGCUGAAGCUGUGGAUGACGGGAAAGCAGCCGGCGCCGUGGUCAAAUUAUCUGUUUGAUCCGGAAAUAAAACGUCCCUCGGCAACCGACGACGUCGAACCGGAGGAAAGCCUUGAGGAAUAUUAUCAAAAUACGCCGGAUAUUGCCGCCGAGAUGGACGAACUGCAAAAACUCAAUCAACAAUUGGAGAAUGACAGCAAUGAACGAUAAAGCACUCCCGGCCUGGGAUCUGAGCGAUUUGUAUGACGGCAUUGAAGACGAAAAAAUUGCCGCCGAUUUGGAAAAGUACCGCGCUUUCUGCGUUGAUUUUGCCGGCCGCUACAAAGGGCGUCUGGGCGAACUUGACGGCGCGGGGAUUGCCGCCGCGCUGAAAGCCUAUGAACAGAAUUCCGAAAUCGGCAGCCGUGUCGGCGGUUUUGCCUAUCUCAACAUGGUAACGCAGAUGAAAAACCAGGCGGCGGUCGCUUUUUAUCAGAAUAUCAGCGAAAAGCUGACCGAUUACAGCAAGCCGCUGAUUUUCCUCAGUCUGGAAAUUAAUCAGCUGCCGGCGGAAAAAAUCGAAGACUGGCUGAAAAAUCCCGAAGCCGCUUUUUAUAAGCCCUGGCUGGAACGUGUCCGCCGUUUUAAACCGUACGAAUUAUCAGAAGCGGUGGAAGAGGUGCUGCUUGAAAAGUCGAUGACGUCUUCUUCGGCCUGGGUUCGACUGUACGAAGAAACUUCCUCAAAACUGCAAUAUACGGUUGACGGCAAAACCUAUAACGACGCGGAAGUUUCCAAACUGCUGCUGGACAAGAACGCGGAAACCCGCCGCAAAGCCGGCGCCGAGAUCAACCGGGUGGCGGAAGAAAACGCCGACCUGUUUACCUUCAUCUAUAACAUGGUGAUCAAGGACAAGGCGAUCGAAGACGAAAAACGCGGCUUUAAACUGCCGAUGUCUUCCCGCAACAUGUCGGAAAACGUUUCCGACCAAAUGGUGGAAACGCUGGCCGAAACGGUGCGUGCCAACUAUAAGAACAUUGCUCACCGUUUUUACCGGCUGAAAGCCAAAUGGCUGGGCGUUGACAAAAUUUCCUACUGGGACCGCAACGCGCCGCUGCCGUUUGCCGACGAUACGGAAUAUGACUGGGCGGAAACGGUGUCGGUGGUGUUGGACGCAUACAAGUCUUUUUCUCCGGAACUUUACGAAAUAGCCAAAGACUUCUUUGAUAACGCCUGGAUCGACGUGCCGCCCCGCGACGGCAAACGCAGCGGGGCCUUUUGCGCGCCGGUCAGCGCCGGAGCUCAUCCUUACCUGCUGCUCAAUUUUGCCGGCAAACGCAACGAUGUGCUGACUUUGGCGCACGAGUUGGGACACGGCUGCCAUCACCAGACCCGGGUUAAAAACGGAGAAUUGAACGAAUAUUCACGGAUGACGACCGAAGAAGUGGCUUCGGUGUUCGGCGAGAUGAUCACCUUCCAGUCGAUGGUUGCCAAACUGCCGGACGGACCGGAAAAACUGGCGCUGAUCGCCUCCAAGGUCAGCGACAUGAUCAAUACCGCCAUCCGUCAGAUCGCUUUCCAUUUCUUUGAAAGCCGCGCCCAUGCGGAACGGAAAGACGGCGAACUGAGCAAGGAGCGCCUGUGCGAAAUAUGGCAGGAGGAAAUGGCCGCCAGCUUGGGCGAGGCGGUGGAAGUCGGCGAAAUUCCUUGUCAGGUAAGUUCUGACCCGCACGAAAGGCGUAACGAUUUGGGCGCUGUCUCAGCUGUAGACUCGGUGAAGUCUUAGUACCUGUGAAGAUGCAGGUUACCCGCGACUAGACGGAAAGACCCCAUGGAGCUUCACUGCAGGUUGAUAUUGGGAUUUGAUGCAGCAUGUACAGGAUAGGUAGGAGGCAAAGAGAUGGAUACGCCAGUAUUCAAGGAGCCGCUGUUGGGAUACUACCCCUGUUGUAUUGGAUUUCUAACCGGACGACGUAGAGCCGUUGACGGGACAGUGUCAGUCGGGCAGUUUGACUGGGGCGGUCGCCUCCCAAAGAGUAACGGAGGCGCCCAAAGAUACCCUCAGCUUGGAUGGAAACCAAGCGCAGAGUGCAAAGGCAAAAGGGUGUUUGACUGCGAGACCUACAAGUCGAGCAGGGACGAAAGUCGGGCUUAGUGAUCCGGCGGUGCUGAAUGGAAAGGCCGUCGCUCAACGGAUAAAAGCUACCCUGGGGAUAACAGGCUGAUCUCCCCCAAGAGUUCACAUCGACGGGGAGGUUUGGCACCUCGAUGUCGGCUCAUCGCAUCCUGGAGCUGAAGUCGGUUCCAAGGGUUGGGCUGUUCGCCCAUUAAAGCGGUACGCGAGCUGGGUUCAGAACGUCGUGAGACAGUUCGGUCCCUAUCCGGCGCAGGCGGAGGAAAUUUGAUAGGAGCUGUCCUUAGUACGAGAGGACCGGGAUGGACGGACCGCUGGUGUAUCUGUUGUACUGCCAAGUGCAUAGCAGAGUAGCCAAGUCUGGAAGGGAUAAACGCUGAAGGCAUCUAAGCGUGAAGCCCCCCUAAAGAUAAGAUUUCCCAUACCGAAAGGUAGUAAGACCCCUUGAAGACGACGAGGUAGAUAGGGCAGAGGUGGAAGUACGGUAACGUAUGGAGCUGACUGUUACUAAUCGGUCGAGGCUUUAACCAA